CGGAGGAAAAGGCGGGGGAGGUUAUGUAUGAUCAAAUACUUUUCAACCAAGAGAAGGGAAGGGGUUUUCGCCUUCACGGUGGCGGUGGUGGCAGCUCUUCGCGGGAUGACUAUGGUUAUAUAUAUAUAUAUACUACUACCAAUGCACAACCACUUUUGUUACACUUCCGAGAGGUCUUGACCGGUAUGUGUCUCCCAUUAUGAAGACAAGGAUAGAUUACUCUUGACAGCUGACUGGGUUUAUGAAUGCGUUAGUCAGAUAACUUUCAUCCAAAGGAAUUGACUACACAAGACCGAGAUGCAGGGUUUGGCUUGACAAGUCAGUUUCAUACAUAGUCUGUGCCAAUGGCCUCAAGGGACAAUAGCUGCCGUAAAGGUGAGGUGGACAACAAACUCGUUGAAACUGGAAGGGAACAGGUUUUUCCGUGGUAGUAAGAAGGCAAAACUUUUGAGAGAUGGUGAAGAAAGUGAUGCGUUUCCAACCAAGUUACUUUGCUCGUCAGGAGAUGCCAUUGGUUGUGGAAAUGACGUAGUAGCAAGUGGUCGUGAAGUUCCUGAUGUGGCUGAUACUACUGAGGAUCUGUUGGAGCAAACAAGUAAAGUGGAUAAACAGGGUACUCGUAAUCCGCCAGGAUACUUACGGAAACUUUAGUGAGACGCAGACCGAAUCGCAGGUUAUAUAACUCUUACUCUGAAAAUAAUACCUUUGGAGUUUUCCAUAGUUAAAUCUUUACAAGUCUGGAUAAUAGUCAGGUUUCUAAAUCCCAGUUCUGAAUUUAAAAAAAAAAAAAAAAAAAAAACUGCACCUAAACUUGAUUCCAAAUAGCUGACUCUUAAUCUUUGCUUGCUUGAGCGGGUAACUCUCAUGUUCCAGUUUAUAUCUUAAUUCUGCUAGUAGUUUAACCAUGUUCUUGUAAAAUGUAUCUUCCUUUCAACAUUGAGUUUGUUACUCUACGAAGGUAGUCUCUGUGGUGGGGGAACUUGUUGCAUCUUAUACCUGCGUAUACAGCCUAAAAACUUGUGAUUCUACCACUUGACAAAGAAAAUUUGCAGGUUGUUGGCUACGAGAAAGAUCUUUCAGGAAGGCAGAUGCUAAUCGUUAAAG